AAGGUAUGAUAACAUGGACAUGUCAUGUGUAAGGUAUGAUAACAUGGACAUGUCAUGUUUAAGGUAUGAUAACAUGGACAUGUCAUGUUUAAGGUAUGAUAACAUGGACAUGUCAUGUUUAAGGUAUGAUAACAUGGAGGUCUGAUGUUUAAGGUAUGAUAACAUGGACGUCUCAUGUUUAAGGUGUGAUAACUUGGAGGUCUGAUGUUUAAGGUAUGAUAACAUGGACGUCUCAUGUUUAAGGUGUGAUAACAUGGACGUCUCAUGUUUAAGGUAUGAUAACAUGGACGUCUCAUGUUUAAGGUAUGAUAACAUGGACGUCUCAUGUUUAAGGUGUGAUAACAUGGACGUCUCAUGUUUAAGGUGUGAUAACUUGGAG
rnacentral:lncRNA from 1 species